ensembl:lncRNA
GGAGAGUGUAGCUGGAGUCACAGACUGUUGUCUCCAGAGCAAAACUGACCAGGCAGAUGAGGCCAGGAGACUGGAGAGCCCAAGGGGAUCUGAGAAGACCCUUGCAAAGAGAAUGCUGUGAGCUCCGCCUGGAAAGAUCUGUGUCUUAUUCCUAGCAACAACACCAGCAGCACACAGCAGGACUUCAGAAACCACCAGAUGAAGGAAGGAGCCUCUACCAGCUGUGGGAGACUCCAUUAUGCAGCCUCAAGCCCAAUCACCUGGGCAGCCUGGUGUGUCCUCCCAAGAUGCGGCCCUCCUUCUCCAUGUACUGGCCACAUUUCAACUUGGAUUCCACAGCCAGAGUGAUGCUGGCAUCGUUUCC